rnacentral:rRNA from 1 species
AACGAACGCUGGCGGCAUGCCUAACACAUGCAAGUCGAACGGGAUCCUGGUUUCGGCCAGGUGAGAGUGGCGGACGGGUGAGUAACGCGUGGGAACCUGCCCAGUGGUGGGGGAUAACUGCGGGAAACUGCAGCUAAUACCGCAUGAGCCCGAAAGGGGAAAGAUUGAUCGCCAUUGGAGGGGCCCGCGUUCGAUUAGGUAGUUGGUGAGGUAACGGCUCACCAAGCCUUCGAUCGAUAGCUGGUCUGAGAGGAUGAUCAGCCACACUGGGGACUGAGAUACGGCCCAGACUCCUACGGGAGGCAGCAGUGGGGAAUAUUGGACAAUGGGGGCAACCCUGAUCCAGCAAUGCCGCGUGAGUGAUGAAGG